GAACGACCCUCCCAACGAACCCGAGGGAGAGCCUCAAGGUUUGACUUGAUCCUUGACUAAGCUUGGCCAUAAAAUGGCGCAGAUAGCCUCAAGGUUCAACAAGCCCAGGAUCACAUCUGAAUCACUGACAUCCCCAUUCUGUAGGAAAGGAGCCCUGGGAAAGGAGAACCCAUCAAAGAUCGUCUCGAAAACACUUGCCUUGAUCAGGAUACGCUGAAAAACCACCGAUGAGGAAAAUCACUUCAUCAUCAUCAUCGUGGAAGUUUUAUAACCCUUUUGGGUCUUCAACUUAUAAGCUACAACUUCAUGUCAGAGAUACAUGGAAUACUGUCAGGAACAAACCUGAUGAAAGAACUCUCAUUGCUUACACCAAUGUUCGCGUUGAUACAGAGCUGGACGAUCCCAUCGAUGCUCUUGUUUCAGGCAAAUGUAAUGAAGUGCUGUGCAAACGAUCUGUUAAGCAAACAUUUGUUCCAAAUUGUAGCAUAAUAUUUGUUCCAAAUAGUGAUUUACCGACAUGCUUGAAGAUCACCUGUUUGUAUUUGACAAUGCAAUA